rnacentral:lncRNA from 1 species
AGGACUGUGACAGUGGGAGGCGUCAUGCAAAAGUGAUGUGAGGCUCAGAUGCAUCUGGAAGCUUUAUGGUGCAACCCCUUCUUCCCUAUUCAGACCUUCAUUCUAUGCUGGAGUCUUCCUAGUGACAGUCCUGUCACCAAAUGACAACAACUUCUCCCUGAUCAAUCUUGAGACUAAAGAGGCUAGAGGAGGGCCUCUACAGAUCAGUCAGUGGGUGUCCCCUGACCACUGCCACUGCAUUUUCUAGGGAUUGUGUUCUAUGUGUGGGAUGUAUGAGAGAGCUGGUCUCCCAGCUCUUGGGAUGCAGCCUGUUCCUCAUUUCCUGGACUGUGCCUGCUCCAGUCUUCCUCUUGCAUCAUGGAAGCCAUUCUUCCAGUCACAGGCUUGACUUCAUUCUUACCCACAAGGGGGAAGGGUGAAGAUUGGCUCUGAGAUGUGACCCCAGCUUCUAGACUGUCUAUGUGAGGUGGUAUUAUCUGAUCUUUUCUCAGUUGCCAUUCUAUAGUCACAGUGAUGUGCAAGGCUCUAGCUAGGUGCUAGAUCCCAGGAUCAUUAAUAUCAUGGACAACCUGUGCCCAAGAAGCUAACACACUGACACAGUCCAGGACAUCCAGGAAUACGAAGGUGGUGAGGUGUCCCCAGCUAUGGUUCUGACCUUCAGAAAAGCAGUCAAAGGUCAUGAGGAUUUCUGACAGAAUCAACACAGGCUGAUGCCUGUAAACCAAAGUCCUUUCCUGUUUGGAGCUGCUGAGUGUAGUCUGAACUGUGAGUCUGGACCUGCUCUCUCAGUGAAGGCACAACUUCUUGAACUCUGACUCUGAACUGUAGUUGUGGCUAAUGCUGCUUAUGAUCCAAAAAUCUAAUUCAGCAGUGAAAAUAUAAGCUUCCAACCUCUAACCUGGAACAUUCUGUCUCAAAAAGGACAGUGUGUACACUUGAAUGGAAAGACCAGGUCCUGGUGCUUUCCCACAAGAAGUUGCUGAAUGUGGCUACCUGGAAGGACAACCAAAGAGGGCUGCCAGAGAGGAGGCCACUACCAAUUAGUCAAGCAACCUCAUCUGCAUCAUCACAAGCAUCUGUAGUAUGGAGGUCUGGUAAACACGGUGUGGGCCUCUUCCUUCCCUGGAUGCCACCAUCAAGUGAGAUAUAGGUCGUUCACAUCACUGUGUGGACCUAGAAUUCCUCUGCAGGUCCUUUUACAGGAGUGGAGUCCUUCCCUCCAAGAGAGGUUAGCAACUGGUCAGACAUUCAGGCCAUUUUCUUUCUGCUAGCCUGUGCUUCUUUGAGUAGGUCCAAUUCAGUGCUACUAGGUAUGUAUAAUGCUUACAGACCUUACCCUAAUUUAUAGAGAUGGUAUGGGUAUUGAGAGCAUGUAACCUUGGAAAGCAUUUUAAAUUAGUUACAUAUGUUCUCACUUAUGACCUGUUUGCUGUCUCCUCUGUCUGUCUCUUCUGCUUCUCUGUUUCUAUAUCUCUCUGUUACUCCAGCUUUGUCUCUGUCUCUGCAUUUGUUUCUGACUUUCUCAUGUUCUCUAUCUCUCUUCCUCUCUGCCUCUUCGCUUCUCUCUCUUCUCUCCCUCUCCCUAUCUCAACCCUCUCUCUCUCCCUCUCUCUGUCUCUCUCUCUCUGUGAUAUCAUGUAUAUUUUCUGGGUAGCUUGUGGAUGUCAGAGGAUAACUCUAUUGAGGUAUUUCUCAAACCCUUAAAGGACCCAGAGAUUUAACUCUAGCUACUAUUCUUGGAAAAGUUUUAUAGGUGUAAGAACAUGAAGGAUCUGAGGCUGUGCCAGUCCAUGCUGGAGAAGUACCUGACUGGACUGAGGAGUAGAAACCUCGGCCACGGACCAUGAAUGUGCUGUUCUCCUUCCCUGGAUGACAGUCAGAACAAUGGAAUCUUCUCUGUCCUUCAGAAUUUUCUUGGUUGUUGAUUUGGGGAUCCUCAAUCUCUCAACUUAGUUCCCUAAUGUCAAGUAGUAUUGAAUAUUAGCAUCCUACUUUAUUUGCCCCUGUUAUUUCUGUCUACCUUUAUUUUGCCAGAACUUUGUAUGGCUAUGACAGUACGUUUGUAUCACUUUAGGAUUGGCAAGGCCACAUCAGGGUAACCAGAGCCCUUUCACAGGAUAGUCUUCUUGUAACACUAAUCUUGACUCAGUGGUGAGAGAGAACUUAAAACUCAGAGCAUGACCUGCCCCAGUGUGGUUCCUGAGCCUGGGAACUCAAAGCUCAACAGUCCAACCUUCUUCGUUUAUUCUGGGUUUGGACUUUUUGCAGUCUUUUCAUGUCAGUGUCAACAACUACUUCGGUAGUAGCUGGAAGUCCAGAAAUCACGGGGUGGGCGUUUCUUGAAUGAUCUUGACCCAUGUUGGGUCUUCUAACUUCUGUCUCCACAUUCAACAUUAAAUAUACCAUAUCUCUCCAAAGGUCAUGCCUGUUCCAGUAUCCUGAACUCAGUGAGGAGGUUGGAUCAAGUGUCAAAGGAAUGAAGGUCAAGCUCUGGAUUUUAUCAGAGAGUCUGAGCAAGACCACUGAUGUUCUGGGAAAAACUUGACUUUUCAGUGGGAUCUUCAUCUGCUGUACAUAACCAACAACCUCUGCUGUGAUGAAAACCAGGGGAUGAUAAAAGGUGCUGCAGUUGGCAUGACUGCUGACAAGAGACACUCAGAGGUUCACUUCAAAUUCAAUAUUCAGAUUGUCUUCAUGGUCUUUCCUUAGUCUCCCCUUAGAGACAGAACUGAAAUUCACCCUGGACCACAUCUUUUACAUGCAGGCCCUUUGUAGGGAGGAGAACAAAGACCUGGAGAUGUCAUGCUGUUCACCUGUACAAACAGUGCAGAGGAGCAGGCAACCAACACCAGACCUUCUGGGUGCUAGGACCCUGUCACUAUCCAAGGGCUAUCUAGGAUGACUCUGUACAGGCGGUAUGGCAGAAGUUAAUUCUUUCCAAAAGAGCCUGACUGACAUAGUAAAGAGGGCUCCCACAACCUCCCUCUCGCAGUCUCCAUCAACUCUUGCAUGUCUCCUUGGCAACCACUUCAGAGAGUUUGUGAUUCUCCUGACAGGAGAGCUCCAGCAAAAUCUCGGACUUCAGGUCAGAGGGACAAGUAUAGCAAUGGGGUUCUUAUGCAUUGGUGCAAUGCUAGCACAUCUGGGGGCUGCAAAGACAGAUGGGAAAGACCUGGGAAAAUAUCUUUGGCAAGAAACCCAUUCUUCUUCUCUCAACUCACAAGUUCCUUCGUUUUGUUCUCCAUAUUCAGUCUCAUGAUACUGAAGAGACUGUUCUAGCUGAUGAGGCCGGGCUUAGAAGAUGGACUACAGCCAAGAACCCUGGCCACCAUAACGACAAGUCACACCUUUAGGGAACACUUGAAAAGCACUUAUGCACAGUAGAAAAGUACAAGGAUUAAAGUCUCCUCAGGCAUUCCAGCAUAGAGAGAGUCUGACAGACUCAGGUCAGAGGUUACCUCCAAAUAAUAGAAGAGGAAGAAGGUCCUGCUUGACAGAAGAAGCCUGUGGCUGAGGCCAUUGCAACAAGGACUAUGACUGUGAAACUUGUUUCUCCGUGGAUACCGGUUUCAGAAAUCUUGUGCCCAGGUACCCACAGUCCUCCUCACAUACCUCAUUUUAUAGAACUUUGCAAGUCCUGACAUUCUGUCAUGUGCUUUGUUAUCCCACAUAGGGUAACAAAGAUUUUUACCCAUUUAAGAGUCUGGAAAUAGGCUGGAC